rnacentral:rRNA from 1 species
AAUAGAUACCCGGGUAGUCCAUGCCGUAAACGUUGGGCACUAGGUGUGGGGCUCAUUCCACGAGUUCCGUGCCGCAGCAAACGCAUUAAGUGCCCCGCCUGGGGAGUACGGCCGCAAGGCUAAAACUCAAAGGAAUUGACGGGGGCCCGCACAAGCGGCGGAGCAUGCGGAUUAAUUCGAUGCAACGCGAAGAACCUUACCAAGGCUUGACAUGCACGGGAAGCCACCAGAGAUGGUGGUCUCUUUGGACACUCGUGCACAGGUGGUGCAUGGUUGUCGUCAGCUCGUGUCGUGAGAUGUUGGGUUAAGUCCCGCAACGAGCGCAACCCUGUCCCAUGUUGCCAGCGGGUUAUGCCGGGGACUCAUGGGAGACUGCCGGGGUCAACUCGGAGGAAGGUGGGAUGACGUCAAAUCAUCAUGCCCCUUAUGUCUUGGGCUUCACGCACGCUACAAUGGCCGGUACAAAGGGCUGCGAUCCGUAAGGUGAGCGAAUCCCAAAAAGCCGGUCUCAGUUCGGAUUGGGGUCUGACC